UUCGACUACCUAUUUUUUUGGAAACCAGUGUAUCACAUAGUUAUUACACAACUUAAUUCCUUUAAGAAUUGGAUUAAAGAAUCAAUUACAUGUAGGGUAUUGUCUAAAGGAGCAGAUAACAUAAAAAUUGAAGUUGCUAAUACUCAACUUGUGAUGAUACUUAAAUAGUUAAUCUCAUCUUUGAACCAAAGAAUGCAGUAGUAGUAAUUUCUAUUGCAUCAGAAUAGCAUGAUGGCUUCAUAUAUAUAAUCUUAAUAGCUAAUUACUAGUAUUAACAUAAUCAUACAAAUGUAUUAAAGGAGUAACACAGUUCAGUUUAGUUAAGUCUGAGUUCAUGAAAGCUAGUCAUAGACCUUACCUUACUCUAGUAAACCCCUUGUAACUAACCGUCUCAGUUCUAACAGUUAGAACAGUUGUAACCAAGUUGAUUGACAAGUGUCAGUCAGUCAGGUGUAGACUGUAUUCCUGUCUUAUUCAAGUACCAUUGCCAUGAAAUGCGCUGAAUUUUGUCCACUGUUUCCUCUACCACUCCAUUGACAUUGUUGAACACUCGGUCAUUUCGAACCCUCCAAAUAACCCACACUUAGGCUAACCACACAAUCGAGAAUCCCUUCCGAAUCUUCUU
rnacentral:lncRNA from 1 species